rnacentral:piRNA from 1 species
GUCAAGUGCUGGGACCCAGCCCGG